AAUCAACGCUGGCGGCGUGCCUCAGACAUGCAAGUCGAACGAUUAAAGCUCUCUUCGGAGAGUGUAUAGAGUGGCGCACGGGUGAGUAACACGUAAGUAAUCUACCUUUGAGUGGGGAAUAACAGUCGGAAACGACUGCUAAUACCGCAUAAUGCAGCGGCAUCGCAAGAUGACAGUUGUUAAAGGAGCAAUCCGCUUAAAGAGGAGCUUGCGGCAGAUUAGCUUGUUGGUAAGGUAACGGCUUACCAAGGCUACGAUCUGUAUCCGGUCUAAGAGGACGGUCGGACACACUGACACUGAAUAACGGGUCAGACUCCUACGGGAGGCAGCAGUCGGGAAUUUUGGGCAAUGGGCGAAAGCCUGACCCAGCAACGCCGCGUGAAGGAUGAAGUAUUUCGGUAUGUAAACUUCGAAAGAAUGGGAAGAAUCAAUGACGGUACCAUUUAUAAGCUCCGGCUAACUACGUGCCAGCCGCCGCGGUAAC
rnacentral:rRNA from 1 species